rnacentral:tRNA from 1 species
GCCGGGGUGGCGGAAUUGGGAGACGCACCAGGUUCAGGACCUGGCGCUGGCAACAGCAUAGGGGUUCAAAUCCCCUCUCCGGCA